rnacentral:lncRNA from 1 species
UUCUCUCCUUCUUUAAGAUGCUUUGGAGGAUGAUGAUGAUCAUGAUCGUGAGAAUGACCGAAAUGCCAUCGGUGAGAAAUUUUGAAUGCUGGGUUUUGGGGGGAAAUGAAAGAAGCUUCUGAUUGAAAGAAUCCCGGUGACUCCGGCGGUGGAAGGAGGUGUUUUGAAAAGGAAAGGCGUGUGAUGCAUGUUCUGUAAAUGGGAUUCAGAUUGUUGAAUCUAAAUCCCAUCGUUUUUCUUCUUCUUCGUCUUCUUCAAAUUGUUGUCUAGGGUUUCGUGGGUUUUGAUUUGUUGAAACUGAAACUACGCUGAAUCGUAUCAGAUUCGAUACUUUG